rnacentral:rRNA from 1 species
UACGGAGGGGGGCAAGCGUUGUUCGGAAUUACUGGGGCGUAAAGGGCGCGCAGGCGGCUGCUCAAGUCAGGCGUGAAAGGCCUGGGCUCAACCCGGGAAUUGCGCUUGAGACUGGGCUGGCUUGAGUGCGGGAGAGGAUGGUGGAAUUCCCAGUGUAGAGGUGAAAUUCGUAGAUAUUGGGGAAAGAACACCGGUGGCGA